CCUAGCUUAGUCUUUUGACGCAAAAAUCAUUAUAUUAAUUAAUAUAAUGAUUUUUGCAUCAAAAGACUAAGCUAGGUAACAAAG